rnacentral:rRNA from 1 species
GACGAACGCUGGCGGCGUGCCUAAUACAUGCAAGUUGAGCGCUGAAGGUUGGUACUUGUACCAACUGGAUGAGCAGCGAACGGGUGAGUAACGCGUGGGGAAUCUGCCUUUGAGCGGGGGACAACAUUUGGAAACGAAUGCUAAUACCGCAUAAAAACUUUAAACACAAGUUUUAAGUUUGAAAGAUGCAAUUGCAUCACUCAAAGAUGAUCCCGCGUUGUAUUAGCUAGUUGGUGAGGUAAAGGCUCACCAAGGCGAUGAUACAUAGCCGACCUGAGAGGGUGAUCGGCAACAUUGGGACUGAGACACGGCCCAAACUCCUACGGGAGGCAGCAGUAGGGAAUCUACGGCAAUGGACGAAAGUCUGACCGAGCAACGCCGCGUGAGUGAAGAAGGUUUUCGGAUCGUAAAACUCUGUUGGUAGAGAAGAACGUUGGUGAGAGUGGAAAGCUCAUCAAGUGACGGUAACUACCCAGAAAGGGACGGCUAACUACGUG